GACGAACGCUGGCGGCGUGCCUAAUACAUGCAAGUAGGACGCAGUUGCGAACGGGUGAGUAACGCGUAGGUAACUACCUAUUAGAGGGGGAUAACUAUUGGAAACGAUAGCUAAUACCGCAUACUAGUAGAUGGACCUGCGUUGUAUUAGCUAGUAGGUAGGGUAAUGGCCUACCUAGGCAACGAUACAUAGCCGAGCCGAGAGGGGGAACGGCCAACCUGGGACGGGGACACGGGCCAGACUCCCACGGGAGGCAGCAGUAGGGAAUCUUCGGCAAUGGGGGGAAACCUGACCGAGCAACGCCGCGGGAGUGAAGAAGGGUUUCGGAUCGUAAAGCUCUGUUGUGAAGGAAGCGGUACUUAACCAGAAAGGGACGGCUAACUACGUGCCAGCCGCCGCGGUAAUUC
rnacentral:rRNA from 1 species